rnacentral:rRNA from 1 species
GAUGAACGCUGGCGGCGUGCUUAAUACAUGCAAGUCGAGCGAGUGAGUUCUUCGGAACGAUCUAGCGGCGGACGGGUGAGUAACACGUGGGCAACCUGCCUCAUAGAGGGGAAUAGCCUCCAGAAAGGGAGAUUAAUACCGCAUAAAAUUAUCGAGUGGCAUCACAUGAUAAUCAAAGGAGUAAUCCGCUAAGAGAUGGGACCGCGGCGCAUUAGCUAGUUGGGGAGGUAACGGCUCACCAAGGCGACGGUGCGUAGCCGGCCUGAGAGGGCGAGCGGCCACACUGGGAGUGAGACGCGGCCCGGACUCCUACGGAAGGCGGCAGUGGGGAAUAUUGCACAAUGGGGGAAACCCUGAUGCACCAAGGCCGGGUGAGUGAUGAAGUUCGUAGGGUUGAAGAGCUCUGUCUUUGGGGACGAUAAUGACGGUACCCAAAGAGGAAGCCACGGCUAACUACGUGCCAGCCGCCGCCGUAA